rnacentral:rRNA from 1 species
AACGAACGCUGGCGGCAGGCCUAACACAUGCAAGUCGAGCGCACCUUCGGGUGAGCGGCGGACGGGUUAGUAACGCGUGGGAACGUACCCUUUUCUACGGAAUAGCCUUUGGAAACGAAGAGUAAUACCGUAUACGCCCUUUGGGGGAAAGAUUUAUCGGAGAAGGAUCGGCCCGCGUUAGAUUAGAUAGUUGGUGGGGUAACGGCCUACCAAGUCUACGAUCUAUAGCUGGUUUUAGAGGAUGAUCAGCAACACUGGGACUGAGACACGGCCCAGACUCCUACGGGAGGCAGCAGUGGGGAAUCUUAGACAAUGGGCGCAAGCCUGAUCUAGCCAUGCCGCGUGAGUGAUGAAGGCCUUAGGGUCGUAAAGCUCUUUCGCCUGUGAUGAUAAUGACAGUAGCAGGUAAAGAAACCCCGGCUAACUCCGUGCCAGCAGCCGCGGUAAUACGGAGGGGGUUAGCGUUGUUCGGAAUUACUGGGCGUAAAGCGCACGUAGGCGGAUUGGAAAGUUGGGGGUGAAAUCCCGGGGCUCAACCCCGGAACUGCCUCCAAAACUAUCAGUCUAGAGUUCGAGAGAGGUGAGUGGAAUUCCAAGUGUAGAGGUGAAAUUCGUAGAUAUUUGGAGGAACACCAGUGGCGAAGGCGGCUCACUGGCUCGAUACUGACGCU